rnacentral:lncRNA from 1 species
GUGGGGUCAUUGAACACAUUUUCUAACAAGAGGCUGUCACAACGACAGCAAACCGGAUUUAUUAACAUUUAUUUGUGUCCUGGCAAUAUCACAAGAACCAUUACUGAUGAAUGGUGAAAGUGAAAAUCGUCAAUAUCAAAUUUGACCUCCAUUUUGUCAUCAGUAUCAACAUAUUAAAAUUUGAAAAGCUUAGAUUGAAUGGUUCAUGAGUAAAUGCAACAACGUGAAUGGAAACGCCAUUUUACGAUCUUUCAAGAACCAUAACUCCUGAACAGUAAAAGUCAAAAUCGUCAUUAUUGAACUUGACUUCUAU